GUUUUUCAGUCUGUAGUAAAUUUCUCAUGUUCCUGGAAAAUAAAUGGAUUCCUUUCUGUGCUGUGCUUUUCUCUCUCCCAGUUUGAAGAUGCUCUUCUAUGCAUGAAAACCUUCCUUACUCUCUCCAGUGCUCUGCAUGUGGAAUUCCCCAAAGCCCAUUCUGAAGAGUCCAUGGCUGUGUGAAGUGGUUCUUUGGACAAAGGUGGAUAAACGAGGCCCGUGUGCACUGGCGGUCUUGCUUGCUGUGCUGAUUCUGCAGCCCCAGGAGCAAUGCUCCGAGGAAGCCUGCAUGGGAACGUGGCACCUUAGAUAACCAGCCCGAGUCAUGCAGUCUUUUCGAGAAAGGUGUGGUUUCCAUGGCAAACAACAGAACUACCAGCAGACCUCACAGGAGACAUCUCGCCUGGAGAAUUACAGGCAGCCAAGCCAAGCCGGGCUGAGCUGUGACCGGCAGCGGCUGCUGGCCAAGGACUAUUAUAACCCGCAGGCGUACCCAGGCUACGAGGGCGGGGCUGGUGCGCCCACUGGCUCUGCUCGCAGCAAAGGCCUGGCCUCGCAGCAGGGCCUGCAGGGUAGGCCGGCCUUCCCCAGCUACAGCGUCCAGGACAGCAACCCCUACCCAGGCCGUUACUCGGGUGAGGAGAGCAUGCAGGCCUGGGGGGCCCCCCAGCCCCCACCUCCCCAGCCACAGCCCCUGCCAGGGGGGGUGGGCAAAUACGAUGAGAACUUGAUGAAGAAGACAGCAGUACCCCCUGGCAGGCAGUACCCAGAGCAGGGUGCCCAGCUGCCCUUCCGGAGUCACUCCCUGCACGUCCAGCCACAGCUGUCGCAGCCUCAGCAGUCCCUGCCCUACCCCAAGCUCCAAAGGCAGAAGCUACAGAAUGACAUGGCCUCGCCACUGCCCUUUCCCCCGGGCAGCCACUUUCCCCAGCACUCACAGUCCUUCCCUACCUCUUCCACCUACUCCUCCACUGGCCAGGGUGGUGGGCAGGGGACCCACUCCUAUAAGAGUUGCACAGCACCCUCUGCCCAGCCUCAUGACAGGCCGCUGACCGCCAAUGCUAGCCUGACACCAGGCCAGAGGGUCCAGAACCUUCACACCUAUCAGUCCAGCCGCCUCAGCUUUGACCAGCAGAAGCAGCAGCAGCAGCAACAACAACAGCAGCAACAACAGCAGCAGCAGCAGCAGCAACAGCAGCAGCAGCAACAACAAGCCCUUCAGAGCCGGCAUCAUGCCCAGGAAACCCUCCAUUACCAAAACCUUGCCAAGUACCAACAUUAUGGGCAACAAGGGCCAGGCUACUGCCAGCCAGAUGCGGCCGUCAGGACUCCGGACCAGUAUUACCAGACUUUCAGCCCCAGCUCCAGCCACUCUCCCGCGCGCUCUGUGGGCCGAUCACCCUCCUACAGCUCCACCCCAUCACCACUGAUGCCCAAUUUGGAGAACUUCCCCUACAACCAGCAGUCACUCAGCACGGGCACCUUCCCUGCCACCGGCCUCACCGACCACAGCCACUUUAUGCCCCUACUCAACCCCUCCCCGACAGAUGCCACCAGCUCCGUGGACACCCAGGCUGGCAACUGCAAGCCCCUCCAGAAAGACAAGCUCCCCGAGAACUUGCUGUCAGACCUCAGCCUGCAGAGCCUCACGGCCCUGACCUCACAGGUGGAGAACAUCUCCAACACGGUCCAGCAACUCCUGCUCUCUAAGGCUGCCGGACCGCAGAAGAAGGGCGUCAAGAACCUGGUGUCCAGGACCCCGGAGCAGCACAAGAGCCAGCAUUGCAGUCCUGAAGGAAGUGGCUACUCGGCCGAGCCGGCCGGCACGCCACUGUCAGAGCCGUUGAGCAGCACGCCCCAGUCCACGCACGCUGAGCCGCCGGAGGCUGACUACCUAAGCGGCUCCGAGGACCCUCUGGAGCGCAGCUUCCUCUACUGCAGUCAAGCCCGGGGGAGCCCCGCCAGGGUCAACAGCAACUCGAAGGCCAAGCCAGAGUCCGUGUCCACAUGCUCCGUGACCUCUCCCGACGACAUGUCCACCAAGUCUGACGACUCCUUCCAGAGCCUGCAUGGCAGCCUGCCUCUCGACAGCUUCUCCAAGUUUGUGGCCGGGGAGCGGGACUGCCCGCGGCUGCUGCUCAGUGCCCUGGCCCAGGAGGACCUGGCCUCAGAGAUCCUGGGGCUACAGGAGGCCAUAGGGGAGAAGGCUGACAAGGCCUGGGCCGAAGCGCCCAGCUUGGCCAAGGACACCAACAAGCCACCUUUCUCCCUGGAGAAUCACAGCACCUGCCUGGACCCCGUGGCCAAGACCGUGUGGUCGCGCCCAGGGGAGCCGGAGGCCUUGCCUGAGUCCCUACAGCUGGACAAAGGUGGCACUGCCAAGGACUUCAGCCCGGGACUCUUUGAAGACCCAUCAGUCAGCUUUGCCACCCCUGACCCCAAGAAAACGGGUCCCCUCGCCUUCGGCACUAAGCCUCCACUUGGGGCCGCUGCCCCAGACCCUGCCACAGCGGCUUUCGACUGCUUCCCAGACACAGCUGCCGCCGGAGCAGCAGACAGUGCCAACCCCUUUGCCUGGCCCGAGGAGAACCUGGGCGAUGCCUGUCCCCGCUGGGGGCUGCACCCUGGCGAGCUCGCCAAGGGCCUCGAGACAGGCAGGCAGACCACAGAUGUCGUGGUGGGCAAGGAGAGCGCCUGUGAGGCCUCGGCCUGCCUGGGCUUCCGGGAGGAGGAGCCCCCAGGAGAGAAGGCCCCAGGGUCCCGGGACUUCAAGCAGGAGGAGGUGGGUGGGGUGAAGGAGGAGGCAGGCGGGCUGCUGCAGUGCCCCGAGGUGGGCAAAGCGGACCGGUGGCUGGAGGACAGCCGCCACUGCUGCACCUCUGACUUCGGGGACCUGCCACUGCUGCCGCCCACGGGCCGCAAGGAGGACCUAGAGGCGGAGGAGGAGUACUCCUCCCUGUGCGAGCUUCUAGGCAGCCCCGAGCAGAGGCCCAACAUGCAGGACCCACUGUCGCCCAAGGCCCCCCUGAUGUGCACCAAGGAGGAGGUCGGGGAGGUGCUGGACUCCAAGACAGGCUGGGGGUCCCCAUGCCACCUCUCUGGGGAUUCUGUCAUCUUGCUGGGCCCCACUGUGGGCGCUGAGUCGAAGGUACAGAGCUGGUUCGAGGCGUCCCUGUCCCACAUGAAGCCCGGGGAAGAAGGGUCCGAGGGUGCAUUGGCUCCAGGGGAUCCUGUCGCCCUGACCCCUGACACCUCUCUAGCCCCAAAGGCCGCCGUGCCAGAGGCAUCCAUUGCGAAGAAGGAGCCUGUGCCUCGGGGCAAAAGCCUACGGAGCCGCCGGGUACAGCGGGGUCUACCUGAGGCUGAGGACUCCCCAUGCCGAGCCCCGGCAUUGCCCAAAGAUCUCCUGCUCCCCGAGUCCUGUACAGGCACCCCCCAGGGACAACUGGAGGGCACAGGGGCACUGAGCCGGGGCAUCUCCGAAGGGUUCCCCAGGAUGUGCACCCGCUCCUUCACCGCCCUGAGUGAGCCCCGCACACCUGGUCCCCCAGGCCUGAUUACCACUCCUGCCCCCCCAGACAAACUGGGAGGCAAGCAGAGAGCCGCCUUCAAGUCAGGCAAGCGGGUGGGGAAGCCCUCCCCAAAGGCAGCCUCCAGCCCCAGUAACCCAGCCGCCCUGCCUGUGGCCUCUGACAGCAGCCCCAUGGGCUCCAAGACCAAGGAGACUGACUCGCCCGGCACGCCUGGGCAAGACCAGCGCUCCAUGAUCCUCCGGUCCCGCACAAAGACCCAGGAAGUCUUCCACGCCAAGCGGCGGAGGCCCUCGGAGGGCCGCCUCCCUACCUGCCGCACGGCUAAGAAGCUCCUGGCCAACAGCCAUCUGCCCACCACCUUCAAAGUCUCUGGGAGCCCCCAGAAGGAGGGCAGGGUGGGACCCCGGGCACGGGUCCCUAAGCCGGGGGCCGCUGGCAAGCUCUCUGAUCGGCCCCUUCAUGCCCUCAAGCGCAAGUCUGCCUUCAUGGCGCCUGUCCCCACCAAGAAGAGGAACCUGGUCCUGCGGAGCAGCGGUGUGGGAGACGAGGAUGGGAAGGAGGGUGUGGCUGAGGGUGCCCCUCCCCUCUUCAAGAGGCUGUCGUCCCCCAAGAAGGCCAAGCCUGCAAAGGGCAGUGGGGAGCCCACAGCAAAGCCCCCACCGCCAGAGACCACCGACACCUGCCUCAAGCUGGUGUCUCGAGCCGCCUUCCCGGGAGCCAUGAAGACCAAGGUGCUGCCCCCCCGGAAAGGUCGGGGCCUGAAGCUGGAGGCCAUCGUGCAGAAGAUUACAUCCCCCAGCCUGAAGAAGUUCGCCUGUAAAGCCCCGGGAGCUCCUCCCGGGAACCCUCUGAGCCCGACCCUCCUGGAGAAGGAACGAGGGAUCAAGAGUGCUGGGGGAAGCCCGGUGGGGGCAGAAGAAGGUCUCUUAGGUGUGGGCACUAUGCAGAAGGUCCCAGCAGCCUCAGGAAUUGACCCGAUGUGCAGAAAUCCAGCCAACAGAUCCUUAAAAGGUAAACUCAUGAACAGUAAGAAACUGUCCUCCACUGACUGUUUCAAAACCGAGGCCUUCACAUCUGCAGAGACACUGGCGCCCGGAGCCAUGGCACUAGUGCCCAAGAAAAGAAGCCGGAAAGGCAGGGCUGGGGCCUUGGCACUCCCCAAAGGCCCCCUGGAGAAGCGGCCCCAUCUCGGCCCCCCUCUGCCUCUGACUUCCCGAGACCGGAUGGGAGUGGGCACACAUGGGGGCAGUGAGGAUGUCUCUGGUGGAGGUGGCAAGAAGCCAAAGACAGAGGAGCUGGGCCUGGCCUCCCAGGCCCCUGAAGGCCGGCCCUGCCAGCCCCAGACCAGGGCACAGAAACAGCCGGGUCAUGCCAACUAUAGCAGCUAUUCCAAGCGGAAGCGCCUCUCCCGGGGCAGGGCCAAAAAUGCUGCCUCUUCCCCCUGUAAAGGGCGGGCUAAGCGGCGGCGGCAGCAGCAGGUGCUGCCCCUGGAUCCUGCAGAGCCUGAAAUCCGCCUCAAGUACAUUUCCUCAUGCAAGCGGCUUCGGGCAGACAGCCGCACCCCCGCCUUUUCACCCUUCGUGAGGGUGGAGAAGCGUGACGCAUUCACCACUGUAUGCACUGUUGUCAACUCCCCUGGGGAUGAGCCCAAGCCUCAUAGGAAGCCUUCAUCUUCCACCUCCUCUUCCUCAUCCUCAUCCUCCUCUUUGGAUGCAGCCGGGGCCUCCCUGGCCACGCUCCCAGGAGGCUCUGUCCUGCAGCCACGGCCCUCCCUGCCCCUCUCCUCCACCAUGCACCUGGGGCCUGUUGUUUCCAAGACCCUGAGUACCUCUUGCCUUGUUUGCUGCCUCUGCCAAAACCCAGCCAACUUUAAGGACCUGGGGGACCUCUGUGGGCCCUACUACCCUGAACACUGCCUCCCCAAAAAGAAGCCAAAACUCAAGGAGAAGGUGCGGCCAGAGGGCACCUGUGAGGAGUCCUUGCCGCUCCUAGAACGAACACUCAAAGGCCUGGAGUGCCCAGCUGCCGUUGCCGGGAAGCCCCCUCGGCCAGAUGGCCCGGCCGACCCUGCCAAGCAGGGUGCUCUGCGCACCAGUGCCCGGGGCCUGUCGCGGCGGCUGCAGAGUUGCUACUGCUGUGAUGGUCAGGGGGAUGGUGGCGAGGAGGCAGCCGCAGCUGACAAGAGCCGCAAGCAUGAGUGCAGCAAGGAGGGAGCGGCGGCGGAGUCUGGUGGGGACACCCAGGAGCACUGGGUGCAUGAGGCCUGCGCCGUGUGGACGGGCGGGGUCUACCUGGUGGCCGGGAAGCUCUUUGGGCUGCAGGAGGCCAUGAAGGUGGCCGUGGACAUGACGUGUGCCAGCUGCCAGGAAGCUGGGGCCACCAUCGGGUGCUGCCACAAGGGAUGCAUCCAUACCUACCACUACCCGUGUGCCAACGAUGCGGGUAAGAGCCGGCCAGAGGGCACAGAAAGCCCUGAUGGACCGUGUUGCAGUGCAGGGGACCCUGCACAGCUCCUGGAAGCCUGCCUCAUGCCUCCCUCCCAGCACUGUCUUACCUCUUCCUCUCUCCUAGGACCUGGGCAAGGCUAGGGACAGCGACCUGAGUCAGUCCCCAGGCCUGUACUGAAGGGGUGUCCAGGAACAGAAGUCACAGUUUUGAGGAGCUGUCAUUGCCAAAGGGUUGGGAGAAUUCAGGCCUCAAAGAUGAAGGGGUACUUUGGCGGGAGAUGAAUUGUUCACUGGGAAGAGAAGUGGGAAAGGAGGUCUGCAACUUCAGAGCUGUUGGAUGGGAAUCUGUGAGGUUCCAACAGCCUGAGGACAAACUGGCUUCUGAGGAUUGCAGGGAACCACUGGGCAAGAUUUUGCAAAGGAACACAGGGUCUGGGCAGUCUCUCCACCCACACCCUCUUUCCCCCACUCUAUUCUCAUUCACUCAUUUGUUCCAUGAGCACUUAGAUACCAGGGCCUAGAUUUCCUCAGCCAGGCAGGCAAACAGACAGUCCAAAUCUCAGCCAAAGAAAGCUGCUAGUUUUGCAGCUUUAGGGGCACCACUGUUUUGGGGGGCUUAGAAGCACUUGGACUGGAGUGAAAACCCUGGUGACAUGGACGUGCCCUGACCCACGAUGUUUCUGCAUUUGGUGUCUCCAUCUGUAAAACAAAGAUGAUAAUCAUCUUUUCUUUCCAGAGCUGUUUGGAGCAGGAAGUACAGCCUCAGCCCUCUUUGGGGGCCUCAUGACCUCUGUCCACCUCCCUCGGCCCGCCCUCCCUCCUCUGACCCUGAAGAGGGGUGAAGUUAUCUUGAGCCUCCCUCAUGGACUGCAGAGCAGAGGCAUUUCCCGGCAGGAUCCUCUCCCUGCUGGGGACCAGCUGUUCCUCCUCUCCCUCCUCCUUAUGCCUGUUGGCUCUUCCCUAGGCACAGGGGACCAUGCCCUGUACCCCUCCUGCCUGCCUGCCUGGUCCCAGGCCAGCCUUAGUGCAUCCAAGCCCCUCCCUCCCCACUUCAGCACACGCAGGACUCUGGUGACAGCUCCUUGGCAAGGACUGAGGUGCUGGCACUCAGUAAGGAGGAGCUGCUGGGGUGAAAUGGGGGGGGGUGUUCACUGGCUCCCCCUCCCAUUUCACCAGAGCUGCAUGAACCAGAUUUUAAUGUGGACUCAGACACUUCAGCAGCCACAUGGCCUUGCUCCCAGUAAUAGCUACCACGAGUCUCAUCUUUUCUUCUGCAGGGACUAAUUUAGCCCCAGCUACAUGCACACCAGGUCCUGGCUCGUCCCUUGCUCUCUCUGUGGCCUCUUUAAAGAGAGGCAGGAGAUGGGCACACAGGGGCUCCCGCCCCAGUGCUGCCACCCCAGGCGUUUAAGUGGGACAGGAGAUCCUGAUCCUUGCCCAGAGUCUUAGCAAUUAGAGAGCAGUGUGUGACAUGGGAGUCAUUCUGCCUGAGCAGUAUGAGCAUCCAGGAGGACUUCCCCAGAGAAGGUGAUAUUUGAAUGAGUCUGCCAAAGGUUGGACAGUGUGUCAGCACUUGGUUUUUAUAUUGGGCAUGAAGAGUUGGGAUAGAACCCAGGCUUCACACAUGCAAGGCCCAUGAGCCCUGCCUCUAGCCCUGUGGGGAGUCUAGCAGGCUUGGAGCACAAGUUUUGGUGUCUGCUAAAGUCUGACAGGUUCUGAGGACAGUGGCUACUAAAGAGCUCCAGGGCAGUGGGAGGAAGCAAACUGCGAGGCUGAGUGCACAGUUAUCUGGGUUAUCUGGGUGUGCUGGACCCAUCUUGUAGUUUGCCCUGGAUGGAGGGUGUCAGCCAAGCCAGGGUCCCAAACAUUCCUCGUUCAGGCCUCAGCUGGGGGCUCUGAAGUAUCCAGGCACAACAGACCCUCAUCAAGUUCAGGCUACUGGGUGGUGAUUAAUUCUACAUCUACUCCAACUGUGAGGCACAUAUGCAGGAUAGGGGUGCAGGGAGGAUACAGGCUCUCUGCCACUGUACACCCUGAUUUGGAUAAAUGGAAUUUGAGGCACUUGGGCUCAGGACAGACUCUACAACCCUGUGAUCAGAGGGGCUUGAUGUCAGGCCUGUGGGCACCUGUAGAAUGGGUGGAGAAGGUGGGAGCAUGAGGAAACCCCACAUCCAGGAAACUACAUGGAUCUCAGCUGACCCAGGACAAGGGCUCCAGUCCUUGUCAGUGCCCUGAAGACCUACUGAACCCUCAGAGCUGCCAGGUGUGUCCCAGGGCCUCUCCAGCUCUUUGGGUCAGGCACUCAGCCCACCCUAUUUUCCUGUCCCCACUCAGCCCCUGUGAGGCUGACUAGGUCCAGCUGACCCAGGCUGGCAAUGUCCUUUCCAUUCAGACCCAAAACUACUUUGUCUACCUGGUCUUAGGUUCCCCAAGAAUUCCCCAUGUUCCCAAAGACCCAAAUGUUCCCCAAACAUUGGUGACCCUGCUCUUCCAUAUGCCUUUGGAACUGGUGUGUGUAUAUGUAUGUGUGUUGGGGAGCAUUUCAUUUAGGGCAAGAGUCGUCCAUGUUCAAGAGCUCAAAGACCUUGACUGGAGCUCUGUGGUGGACCCAGGACACAGGCUUGGACAUUUCUGGCUCUGGUUUCAUGAACAGAGGGCUGGGGAGUUUCCAGUAUGGGCCAAUGAGCCAGUGUUGUCUAAAGGUGUGAUUCAGUCCUGAAGCUGCCUGUGUCAGGAACGGAGAGGGAGGGAUGCCCCCUCCAGCUGCUUGGCCCUAAAGAGCAUGUUCAUCUUGGGGUGUUGGGCAGCUUGUUUAGGGUGUGGCAAAGGCAGCUUCAGAGAGGCCUGGAGCAUUCCCAGCUCUGCUGCCCCCCUGUUGUCCCCUCCACUUGCCCUGACAUGGGCCACCAUUAGUGCUGCCUGGUACCUGGGACCCACUAUGGCCACAGCCUGUGCAGAGGAUGGAGCCGGAGGAGAGGCUCCUGCAGCUCGGGCUUCCACAUUGGGUGGGUUUGUGGCCAUGAAGGUUGUGGGUGGGGGAGCCCAGAAGGGAGCAUGAGGCAAGGGAUUCCAGGAGGAAAAGCCAAGGAGACAGCAUUCUAUUGAGCCCUGAGCCAAGCAACCUUUUUUCUCUGCCAUGGCGGCUGUGCCUUCCAGCCUGGACCUUCAGAUACAGGCUGCGGUUCCACCUCUACAGGACUCUGCUUCCCUCUAGGUCCCCCUAGCAGCAAGCGCACAUCCUGAGGGCCUGGGAGAACCAGGCAGGCAGUUCAUAGGCCUCCCCAGCAAUCCUCUAGCAUCCUUUGCAGACCAAACUUGACCUUGAAUCCAGGCCCAUGCUGCACCACCCAGGUCUGCCCAUAGGAGCAGCACUGGGGCUCCAGGCCACCUUCCAGGCACUGCUGCACCUAUAGAGGAAGGCAGCACUGCUGUGAAGAGGGAGUGGCAGUGUGUGGGUGUGGGUGUGGGGCUUGUGGUUCUGCAACAAUAGGGAUCACUGGCCCCAGAGGAGGGGAGGAGUGAAGGGCCAGGUUGGUGGGGCUGGAGGGCAGAUAGAGGCUGAAUGGUGGAGGAUUUCCAACUGAGUCGGCUGACUCUCUCAAGGGCACCCCUGUGGCCAAGGGCUUUGUGGGAUGGCAGGGGGCCCCCUGGCCAAAUACCAGCAGUACCCUAACCACCCAAACUUCUCUGGCCACAGGUUGCAUAUUCAUCGAAGAGAACUUUUCUUUGAAGUGUCCCAAACAUAAGAGGCAGCCGCUGUAAUCCACUCCAACGGCCGGGGAGCUGCCGGCAUCCUCCUGUCCACCUGCCGGCCACGAGGGAAAGGAAAGGAGCCGUCCACGCGGCCCCCGGGCCUUUGAGCUGCUCCCAGUGCGGAUCCAGCGCCGAUCCUUGAUCUGGACCCCGGAUCUCGGAUCUGGCCACCGAGGGCUAGAAACUUGCGGCCCGGGGCUGGGAAGAAAUCACGUUCCAGAGGAGAUUGGGCCCCCAGGCCCGACCCCUGGAGCCCAGUUUAGAGAGGGGGAGCCCAGGGAGCGGCCAGACUCCUUGGUACUUCCAGGCUCUGGCAGGGUGGGGUGCCUUUCUCCUGGGGCGUCCUUCUCCCCCGAGAGUUCGAGAGUUCUAAAAUGUGGGCGGGUGCUGCACGCCUUCCCCGGCCAGUCGUGGCUUGCACUGGGUGUCCUGGGGGUGGGGGCUCGAGGGCCUAGAAGAGGCUGAGGGCGACCCCGGAGUCUUAAGGAGGCGAGAGGGUGGGAGCCGAGGCCUUGCUGGAGAGGUUCAGGCUCAGGAGCACGACGCGACUGAGCGUCCCUCCUAACCAGCCUGGGACAAAUGUCCUACAGACCCGAGCAUAGCAGAGCAGGGGGUGGGCGGGGCGGGCUUCCCGUGUGGGCAGGACUGGGGCGCCCCUUGGCUUCUGUUUGUCCCCUUUCCAGUCCUCCACCCCACCCCUGGAGCCCUGCCUUGGACCCAGCGCGAACGGAAAGGAGUCGCGACCGCCGCACAGGGCCCGGCCCGCCGAGCGUCAUCGCCUGUGUCUCCAGGGACCUCAGCGCCCACUCGGCCCGGGGAGCGACAGCGCUAGAUUCGUGUACAAACCUGUGUCCCCCUCUAUAUAUAUGUUACAUAGAAUGUAUAUAUGUUGGGAACUUGCUCGCUUCUCCUGUGUGUCGCCGCUGUGCGUCGUGCUCCCCUCAGCACAGGGCCCUGGUUGGGGAAGGGGCGACAGCGAUGCCCCCGGCCCAACGCAGCCACCACCGGCCCAAGCCAGUCCCUGCCGUUCAGUCCGCCUGUCAGUCUGUGUCCUCAGCUCUGUCCACGCUUCGAUAGGCCUGAUGCAGCCCCCCGCCUGGGGCCGCCCUAGCAACUCCCUGUACAUAUGACUGUAAAAUGAUAAACGUGUGUAUUAUAUCUGGCCUCGUUAUAUAGUGUAUAUAUAUGUAUACAUAUACAUAUAUAUAAUAUAUAUGAAGACUGUAAAUGUUAAGACGACUAGUGUUCUUAUUAGUAUAUUGCUUCACACUGAAGAUUGUGUGUAUCGAGCUGUUUCUAAAAGAUGUUUAUUUUCCUUAAGAGUAAAAAACAGUCAUUGCAUUCAGAAAAAAAAAAAGUCAAUAAAGAUACAACAAUUGUUUUGGAA